UAGGGAAUCUUCCACAAUGGACGCAAGUCUGGUGGAGCAACGCCGCGUGAGUGAAGAAGGUCUUCGGAUCGUAAACUCUGUUGUUAGAGAAGAACACGAGUGAGAGUAACUGUUCAUUCGAUGACGGUAUCUAACCAGCAAGUCACGGCUAACUACGUGCCAG
rnacentral:rRNA from 1 species